rnacentral:rRNA from 1 species
UGCCAGACUCCUACGGGAGGCAGCAGUGGGGAAUAUUGCACAAUGGGGGAAACCCUGAUGCAGCGACGCCGCGUGAGUGAAGAAGUAAUUCGUUAUGUAAAGCUCUAUCAGCAGGGAAGAAAAUGACGGUACCUGACUAAGAAGCCCCGGCUAACUACGUGCCAGCAGCCGCGGUAAUACGUAGGGGGCAAGCGUUAUCCGGAUUUACUGGGUGUAAAGGGAGCGUAGACGGCGGUGCAAGCCAGAUGUGAAAGCCCGGGGCGCAACCCCGGGACUGCUUUGGAAACUGUGUAACUAGAGUACAGGAGGGGCAGGCGGAAUUCCUGGUGUAGCGGUGAAAUGCGUAGAUAUCAGGAGGAACACCGGCGGCGAAGGCGGCCUGCUGGACUGAAACUGACGUUGAGGCUCGAAAGCGUGGGGAGCAAACAGGAUUAGAUACCCUAGUAACC